UACGUAGGGGGCAAGCGUUGUCCGGAAUCAUUGGGCGUAAAGCGCGUGUAGGCGGCUCGAUAAGUCUGCUGUGAAAGUCCAGGCUCAACCCUGGGAUGCCGGUGGAUACUGUCGGGCUCGAGUCCGGAAGAGGAGUGUGGAAUUCCUGGUGUAGCGGUGAAAUGCGCAGAUAUCAGGAGGAACACCAGUGGCGAAGGCGGCUCACUGGACCGGAACUGACGCUGAGGCGCGAAAGCGUGGGGAGCAA
rnacentral:rRNA from 1 species